rnacentral:tRNA from 1 species
UCCCUGGUGACUCAGAGGUUAAAGCAUCUGCCUGGAAUGCAGAAGACCUGGGUUCGAUCCCUGGGUGAGGAU